rnacentral:rRNA from 1 species
CCAGACUCCUACGGGAGGCAGCAGUAGGGAAUCUUUCACAAUGGGCGAAAGCCUGAUGGAGCAACGCCGCGUGCAGGAUGAAGGCCUUCGGGUUGUAAACUGCUUUUAUAAGCGAGAAAUAUGAUGGUAACUUAUGAAUAAGGAUCGGCUAACUCCGUGCCAGCAGCCGCGGUAAUACGGAGGAUGCGAGCGUUAUCCGGAUUUAUUGGGUUUAAAGGGUGCGUAGGCGGACUGGAAAGUCAGCGGUAAAAUCGAGAGGCUCAACCUCUUUCCGCCGUUGAAACUGUCGGUCUUGAGUGGGCGAGAAGUAUGCGGAAUGCGUGGUGUAGCGGUGAAAUGCAUAGAUAUCACGCAGAACUCCGAUUGCGAAGGCAGCAUACCGGCGCCCGACUGACGCUGAGGCACGAAAGCGUGGGUAUCGAACAGGAUUAGAUACCCUCGUAAU